rnacentral:rRNA from 1 species
UACGGAGGAUGCAAGCGUUAUCCGGAAUGAUUGGGCGUAAAGCGUCCGCAGGUGGCAAUGUAAGUCUGCUGUUAAAGAGUCUAGCUCAACUAGAUAAAGGCAGUGGAAACUACAUAGCUAGAGUACGUUCGGGGCAGAGGGAAUUCCUGGUGUAGCGGUGAAAUGCGUAGAGAUCAGGAAGAACACCAGUGGCGAAGGCGCUCUGCUAGGCCGUAACUGACACUGAGGGACGAAAGCUAGGGGAGCGAAUGGG